AUGGCGUCGAGGGUGCCGACGUGGAGGGAGCGGGAGAACAACCGGCGGCGCGAGCGGCGCCGGCGCGCGGUGGCCGCCAACAUCUUCCACGGGCUGCGCGCCCGCGGCGGCUACGCGCUCCCCAAGCACUGCGACAACAACGAGGUGCUCAAGGCGCUCUGCGACGAGGCCGGCUGGACCGUCGAGCCCGACGGCACCACCUACCGCAAGGGUUCCAAGCCUGUAACAGCAGAAGGUACCAACCCGAUGGUCCGGUCGGGCUCCCCAAGCCCGUGCUCGUCGCACCAGGUGAGCCCGCGGGCCUCCUUCCCGACCUCCGGCACGUCCUCGCAUACCACGCUCGGCGGCGGCCGCGGCAGCUGCUACGAGGGCGGUUCCCUCAUCCCUUGGCUCAAGAACCUCUCCUCCGGCUCCGGGUUCGCGUCCUCUUCCAAGUUCCCGCGAUACUCGCCCCACUCGUACUACUUCAGCGGUGGCUCCAUCAGCGCGCCGGUGACCCCGCCGUCGGGCUCGCCGCGGCGCAUGCCCUGCCUCAACGCGGGAUGGGGCGAGUAUCCGAGUGCCCAGGUCCAGCCUCCAUGGGUCGGCGCCGGCGGCAGCGGCUACGAUGAUUACGCCUCUCUCCCCAACUCCACGCCGUCGAGCCCCCGCGGAGGCCAGGGCGUCGGUCCAGACCCGGCCGCCUGGCUCUCCGGCUUCCAGAUAUCGUCGGCCGGCCCGUCGUCUCCGACCUACAGCCUCAUGGCUCCUUCGAACCCCUUCCGAGUCUCCGGGGAGAUGGCAGCGGCCACCGCGAGCUCUUCGAGGAUGCGCACCCCGUGUCAGAGCGGGACGUGCUCGCCGGUGGCGCUGGCGGUCCAUGGCGAUGUCCAAAUGGGGGCCCGCGCGGAGGAUGACUUCGAGUUCGGGAGCGGCGGGAGGCCGGUGUCGGUGAAUGCGUGGGAGGGGGAGCGCAUCCACGAGGUGUGCGCCUCGGAUGAGCCUGAGCUGGACCUCACCCUCGGGCUCGGGAGCUCCAACACCCGCGCAAGCGCACUGAACUGA
rnacentral:rRNA from 1 species